AAACUUAUACCCCAACUGACAUGACAGGGUCCAGGUUGGCAUGGUCACAGUUCACUGUAACCUGAAACUUCUACGCUCAAAUGAUCUUCCCACCUAAGCCUCUCAGUCUCCCGAGUAGCUGGGACUGCAGGUGCAUGCCAUCACGUUUGGCUAAUUUUUAGUAUUUUGUGUAGAGAUGGGGUCUUGCUAUGCUGCCCAGGCUGGUCUAGAACUCCUGGCCUCGAGUCAUCCUCCUGCCUUGGCCUCCAAAAGUGCCGAGAUUACAUGUGUGAGCCACCAAUGUCUCCUUUAUUUAUUAUUCCUGCAAACUAAGCAAAUGGUUUAACUUAGAGCCUCAGUAUCUUUACCUGUGAAAUGGUAAUAAUAGUACCUACCUUAAAAGUUGGUGUUGGAUUAAAUGAAUAAGUUACCCUGAUCUGUUUCAUUGUCUACCAACAACAGAAUUGUUGAGGGAAUUAAUUAUAUCACAAUAAUUACAUAAAACCUAAUUGAUAUUAGUUUAAUAAAAAGUAAUGUAUAAAUGUUUGUUCUUUUCCAUUGCUAUAGCUAGAUUAAUAUUGAUCCAGAGCAUAGAAGGACCAUUCUUGCUUUUCCAAGUUAUUCAAUCUGGAUAGUUCACAAGUGAGCAACUAUACAUAAUUAACAACAACCUAACUAUUACAACUAUAUAGUUCUGAUAUGUCAGUUAUAAUAUCUGUUGAUUUAAUUAUCAAACCUCAAUGUAAUGGUUAUGAGCUUUUAAUAUUUCUUUCCCAUUUACCCAAAAGCUUUAAAUUACAUUUCUUUGAUAUGACAGAAAAUAGGAAAUGGAAACUAAGAGAUUAGAAUUAAAACAUAUUUACUAUCAUAGCUUUAAUAUAACCAUGGUUACAUUGUUUAAUGCACACGUAAAAGUAGCCAGGGACAGCUGGGUAGCCUGAGGUUCCCAUGCUAGGAAGGAGAGCAUCCUGCUAAGGAUUGGAGUUUAGAGACACACGAAUGAAAGUAUCUGUCAGGAUGGAAUGAUCUAGAUAUGAUGGCCAUGGAUCUUCAUUGAUAGAGAAACUGUCUUCUGUAUUAACUGACAGGAGAAAAGUGAAGAAAAGCAAAGGAUAUUCAAAUGACAGAUAAUUUGGCUGCAUAAGGGAAGAAUAGUUCUAACUUCAAAUCCAGCCCUUUCAUAUCUGUGUCUUAAUGUUGCUCCAUGUUUUAUGCCAAUCAAAUUUGAUAACAUGAACUAAGAUUUUUUAUAAGGUAUAGUGUAUGGAAAAAUAAUACAGCCUUAUUCUUAGGUAUCAACAGACUAUUAAACAAACUGUAAUCAUAAGAUAUGAAAUUGGGUUAUUUAUUACAGUGAUAAACCGCUGAACAUUGUGUGAAAAACGUAGGAUAGUUUUGCAUUAAUUUUAAGUUUUUAUAAAUUCUAUAAACAUUGGGAUUUAUUAAAAAACAGUGUUUUAACUGAUGAUAUUCUGUUGGAAUUUUCUAGCAAUAAAUGGGUGUUUUGUUCAACUCUUC
rnacentral:lncRNA from 10 species